rnacentral:rRNA from 1 species
UUGAACGCUGGCGGCAUGCCUUACACAUGCAAGUCGAACGCGAAAGCGGGGCAACCCGCAAGUAGAGUGGCGAACGGGUGAGUAAUACAUCGGAACGUGUCCAGUAGCGGGGGAUAACCUCUCGAAAGAGAGGCUAAUACCGCAUACGUCCUACGGGAGAAAGAGGGGGAUCGCAAGACCUCUCACUAUUGGAGCGGCCGAUGUCGGAUUAGCUAGUUGGCGGGGUAACGGCCCACCAAGGCUACGAUCCGUAGCUGGUCUGAGAGGACGGCCAGCCACACUGGAACUGAGACACGGUCCAGACUCCUACGGGAGGCAGCAGUGGGGAAUUUUGGACAAUGGGCGCAAGCCUGAUCCAGCCAUGCCGCGUGAGUGAAGAAGGCCUUCGGGUUGUAAAGCUCUUUCGGCGGGGACGAAACGGUUCGUGUUAACACCACGGACUUCUGACGGUACCCGCAGAAGAAGCACCGGCUAACUACGUGCCAGCAGCCGCGGUAAUACGUAGGGUGCAGGCGUUAAUCGGAAUUACUGGGCGUAAAGCGUGCGCAGGCGGUCUCUUAAGACAGGUGUGAAAUCCCCGGGCUUAACCUGGGAACUGCGCUUGUAACUGAGAGGCUUGAGUGUGCCAGAGGGGGGGUGGAAUUCCACGUGUAGCAGUGAAAUGCGUAGAGAUGUGGAGGAACACCGAUGGCGAAGGCAGCCCCCUGGGGUAACACUGACGCUCAUGCACGAAAGCGUGGGGAGCAAACAGGAUUAGAUACCCUGGUAGUCCACGCCCUAAACUAUGUCAACUGGUUGUCGGGGAAGCAAUUCCUUGGUAACGAAGCUAACGCGUGAAGUUGACCGCCUGGGGAGUACGGCCGCAAGGUUAAAACUCAAAGGAAUUGACGGGGACCCGCACAAGCGGUGGAUUAUGUGGAUUAAUUCGAUGCAACGCGAAAAACCUUACCUACCCUUGACAUGCCAGGAAGCUCUCAGAGAUGGGAGUGUGCCCGAAAGGGAACCUGGACACAGGUGCUGCAUGGCUGUCGUCAGCUCGUGUCGUGAGAUGUUGGGUUAAGUCCCGCAACGAGCGCAACCCUUGCCAUUAGUUGCUACAUUCAGUUGAGCACUCUAAUGGGACUGCCGGUGACAAACCGGAGGAAGGUGGGGAUGACGUCAAGUCCUCAUGGCCCUUAUGGGUAGGGCUUCACACGUAAUACAAUGGCCGGUACAGAGGGCAGCCAACUCGCAAGAGGGAGCUAAUCCCAGAAAGCCGGUCGUAGUCCGGAUUGCAGUCUGCAACUCGACUGCAUGAAGCCGGAAUCGCUAGUAAUCGCGGAUCAGCAUGUCGCGGUGAAUACGUUCCCGGGUCUUGUACACACCGCCCGUCACACCAUGGGAGUGGGUUUCACCAGAAGUAGUUAGCCUAACCGCAAGGAGGGCGACUACCACGGUGAGAUUCAUGACUGGGGUG